UACGAAGGGGGCUAGCGUUGUCCGGAAUUAUUGGGCGUAAAGCGCGCGCAGGCGGUCCUUUAAGUCUGAUGUGAAAGCCCACGGCUCAACCGUGGAGGGUCAUUGGAAACUGGGGGACUUGAGUACAGAAGAGAAGAGUGGAAUUCCACGUGUAGCGGUGAAAUGCGUAGAGAUGUGGAGGAACACCAGUGGCGAAGGCGACUCUUUGGUCUGUAACUGACGCUGAGGCGCGAAAGCGUGGGGAGCAAACAGG
rnacentral:rRNA from 1 species